rnacentral:misc_RNA from 1 species
GAAAUGCGAUAAGUAAUGUGAAUUGCAGAAUUCAGUGAAUCAUCGAAUCUUUGAACGCACCUUGCACUCCUUGGUAUUCCUUGGAGCAUGCCCGUUUGAGUAUCAUGAAAUCUUCAAAGUAAAUCUUUUGUUAACUCAAUUGGUUUCUACUUUGGUAUUGGAGGUCUUUGCAGCUUCACACCUGCUCCUCUUUGUUCAUUAGCUGGAUCUCAGUGUUAUGCUUGGUUCCACUCGGCGUGAUAAGUUAUCUAUCGCUGAGGACACUGUAAAAGGUGGCCAAGGUAAAUGCAGAUGAACCGCUUCUAAUAGUCCAUUGACUUGGACAAUACUUUUAUGAUCUGAUCUCAAAUCAGGUAGGACUACCCGCUGAACUUAAGC